rnacentral:rRNA from 1 species
UACAGAGGGUGCAAGCGUUGUUCGGAAUUAUUGGGCGUAAAGGGCGCGUAGGCGGUGCGGUAAGUCUGUAGUGAAAUCUCUGGGCUCAACUCAGAGUCUGCUAUAGAAACUGCCGUGCUUGAGUGUGGGAGAGGUGAGUGGAAUUCCCGGUGUAGCGGUGAAAUGCGUAGAGAUCCGGAAGAACACCGGUGGCGAAGGCGGCCCGCUGGGCAACUGCUGACACUGAGGCGCGACAGCGUGGGGAGCAAACAGG